rnacentral:lncRNA from 1 species
AGAGUUAUUUAUGCACAAGGUACUCUGCUGUAGAGAGGGUUGCUUACUAACACAGCCAGGGAGGACUGGGGAAGGAUUCCAGCUGCCUGAGCUAAGCCAGGAAGGGAAAAUUGGAGUUAGCAAGGCAAGGAAGGUCAUUCCAGGCAGUGGAAACAGAAUGAGCAAAGGCAAGAGAAAAGGCUAUUUGCUUUUGAGCUACUCCGGGAGAGGAGCAGAGUCGGUUUGAGUUGCAUGACUGACAUCUUCUGGCUACAGUGGAUAUUACAGAAAGACUGAAACUCCGCAAAAGUGUGUUUGAAAAAAAGAAAAGCACCCUGGAAUUUGGAUCAUUAAGUAUCUGCCAUUUAGAAUGUGCCCACAACUGCCAAAUCAAUAAUAGAAUAAAGCAAGGGGAAUCCCUGAGUCUUCAUGGAGUAAGAGCCACACCUUCUUAAGGGGAUCAAGGGGCAAAGUGACUUGAAGACAAUAUUAUCAUGAUAAAUAAGGAAAUAAGGGAAAGUGUGGAAGGUUUUCAUCUCAAUGGACAUGAAAAAGGUCAGAAAGGGGAAGAAUGGCACACUCAAUUUUUCUAAGCUGGGAAAGGAAAUGGUUGGAGUGCUGAACGUAUGUGUGUGUGCGUGUGUGCUCAUGCACAGUGCAUCUUGGCUAAUGAAAUGUACACAAGAGAAGUGUCAACAUAUUGAAAUGUACUCUUCCUUUUGUUUUACAUCUAUCCCCGAAGUGUGCAUUAUUAGAGUUGAGUGCAUUUAAUAAGCCAGGAUUAUCUCCUAGAGUUGCAGAGCAAGACAAAGCAAGUAGAGUCGGUAUCUGGAGACCUUUUUGCAAAGAAGACCAGGCCAGACAGCUGGCAUACAAUGCUGCUGGAAUUCAAACUUUGAAAUGUCCCACUCUGAAGCUCAUAUUAGAACUAUCAGAUGAAGAAAUGCAUGAGAUGACUAAAAUUAUGUAAUGAACAUCUUGAGGAGGUCAAAAUUUUUUCAAGUCACUACAGCAAAAGAUGUUUUCUGCCAUUAAAUAAUGUCUUAUAUAUUCCUAUAACUAUUCUAGUUAAAUGUAUAAUUGUGUUCGUAUGUGUUAAUUAGCAUUUAUGAUCCAUGUUUACAGAGUGCACGCACUGUGUUAGACACUGUAUUAGAAGUAAAAGAUAUUGCAAUGAAUGCUCAGGGAAACUAAGUUCUAACAGGGGAAAUAAACAACACAAUAGCAGCUUUUGAUAAAUAUUAGGUGGAACAAUAUGAAACUGCCAUGUUGGUUCAAUAUCAAAAUUUCAUCUGAUUUGACCUAACUAUCUAAAUAUUAAAGUAUUUUUUCAAGUGUCCCUACAGAAACUCAUGACAUACAUUUCUGUUAUUUGAAUAUUCUUAUACAUUGUUUUUUAUGGGAUUCGAUAUGCACUGAGUCUCUGCAGAGAGUAGGCAGUUUAUGGAAGAAUAUACAGUAAAUCUGAUCAACUUCUUAAGAAUUACUUAACCUUUACUUUAGCUUUCUGAUAAACUCUCAGAAGACAUCUGGCAAUAUCUGAAGACAGUUUUGGUUGUCAUACUGGUACCUGUUGAGUAGAGAUCAGGUAUGCUGCUAAAAUCCUAAAAUACACAGGACAUUCCCCCAAUAGGAAAGAGUUAUCCAGCUCAAAAGGUUAACAGUAACACACUUGGGAGAUCCUGCACUCAACACAAGAAGGGACCAGGCAAAGUUAAUUGGGGGGAAAAAAACAGUAAUAUAAGUAUACAUCCCAAAUCUUGGAGUUUAGCUUUCUCCAAACACCCAUUGUAUAUGUCUGUUGAGGUAAUCAAAUCUUAUGGUGAAAAAUAUGGACAGGAGUAAAAGUUAGAAUGAAGCUUAAGAAAAGUCUUCAUCAACAUUUAAGUUAACUAAAAUAGGACAAUAAACUUGACACACUAAAUAAAUUUGUUAUCAAUGAUCUCUCCUAAGUCUCAAAUGAGUAAUAAUGGGUACUAUAGAAGUCCUGUAAUUUCUACUCAUCCUUCCUUGCUCACUGGAAAACUUAGAGGAUCUCCCUCCUCUGAAAUUUCUAGCAGAUGCUUAUAAAUUUGUUUUUUGUAAACAAUAUGUGCACUAUUUUAUUUUCUAUAUCUAGUAUUCUGUGUUUUUUUAAUUUUUUUUUUUUUUUUUAG